UGCAAGUAGAACGCUGAAGAGAGGAGCUUGCUCUUCUUGGAUGAGUUGCGAACGGGUGAGUAACGCGUAGGUAACCUGCCUUGUAGCGGGGGAUAACUAUUGGAAACGAUAGCUAAUACCGCAUAACAAUGGAUGACACAUGUCAUUUAUUUGAAAGGGGCAAUUGCUCCACUACAAGAUGGACCUGCGUUGUAUUAGCUAGUAGGUGAGGUAAUGGCUCACCUAGGCGACGAUACAUAGCCGACCUGAGAGGGUGAUCGGCCACACUGGGACUGAGACACGGCCCAGACUCCUACGGGAGGCAGCAGUAGGGAAUCUUCGGCAAUGGGGGCAACCCUGACCGAGCAACGCCGCGUGAGUGAAGAAGGUUUUCGGAUCGUAAAGCUCUGUUGUAAGUCAAGAACGGGUGUGAGAGUGGAAAGUUCACACUGUGACGGUAGCUUACCAGAAAGGGACGGCUAACUACGUGCCAGCAGCCGCGGUAAUACGUAGGUCCCGAGCGUUGUCCGGAUUUAUUGGGCGUAAAGCGAGCGCAGGCGGUUUGAUAAGUCUGAAGUUAAAGGCUGUGGCUCAACCAUAGUUCGCUUUGGAAACUGUCAAACUUGAGUGCAGAAGGGGAGAGUGGAAUUCCAUGUGUAGCGGUGAAAUGCGUAGAUAUAUGGAGGAACACCGGUGGCGAAAGCGGCUCUCUGGUCUGUAACUGACGCUGAGGCUCGAAAGCGUGGGGAGCGAACAGGAUUAGAUACCCUGGUAGUCCACGCCGUAAACGAUGAGUGCUAGGUGUUGGAUCCUUUCCGGGAUUCAGUGCCGCAGCUAACGCAUAAGCACUCC
rnacentral:rRNA from 1 species